GACGAACGCUGGCGGCGUGCUUAACACAUGCAAGUCGAGCGGUAAGGCCCUUUCGGGGGUACGACGAGCGGCGAACGGGUGAGUAACACGUGGGUGACCUGCCCUCAGCUCUGGGAUAAGCCUGGGAAACCGGGUCUAAUACCGGAUAUGACUCCAUGACGCAUGUUGUGGGGUGGAAAGCCUUGUGCGGCUGAGGAUGGGCCCGCGGCCUAUCAGCUUGUUGGUGGGGUGANGGCCUACCAAGGCGACGACGGGUAGCCGGCCUGAGAGGGCGACCGGCCACACUGGGACUGAGACACGGCCCAGACUCCUACGGGAGGCAGCAGUGGGGAAUCUUGCGCAAUGGGCGAAAGCCUGACGCAGCGACGCCGCGUGAGGGAU
rnacentral:rRNA from 1 species